rnacentral:misc_RNA from 1 species
GAAACGCGAUAGUUAAUGUGAAUUGCAGAAUUCAGUGAAUCAUCGAGUCUUUGAACGCACAUUGCGCCCAUAGGUAUUCCUUUGGGCAUGUCUGUUUGAGCGUCAUUACAACCCUCAGCUAACCGCUGGUUUUGAACCUGAACGGGUGACACCGCGCCGGUUUUAAAGUUGUAAGCUCUGCUGGCCGCACUGCCCAACCAGAACAUAGUAAGCACUACUUGUCCGGGUGAAGCUGAACGGUACGGCCUGAACAAAACCUACCCACUCUCAAGGUUUGACCUCAGAUCAGACAAGGAUACCCGCUGAACUUAAGC